rnacentral:rRNA from 1 species
GACGAACGCUGGCGGCGUGCUUAACACAUGCAAGUCGAGCGGUAAGGCCCUUUCGGGGUACGACGAGCGGCGAACGGGUGAGUAACACGUGGGUGACCUGCCCUCAGCUCUGGGAUAAGCCUCGGGAAACCGGGUCUAAUACUGGAUAUGACUCCAUGACGCAUGUUGUGGGGUGGAAAGCCUUGUGCGGCUGAGGAUGGGCCCGCGGCCUAUCAGCUUGUUGGUGGGGUGANGGCC